GGUGUGGAAGGGUUGCUGUGGUUUUUGGGUGUUUUGUCAUAGGUUGGCGUUCAGAGCGCCUGCUUGUGAUAUGGCGCUUUAAGGAAUUGAGGAAAGUCCCCCCACGGAUGCCGCAAGGCAUUUAAUCCUGGAAAACCAGGGCGCCGGGAGGCGCGGCAACGGAUUAGAAACGAUACCUCCUCCGGUUAAGAAUGAGAGUAUUCGACGUUUCCGGAAUAAGGAUGAAACGAUUUCCAGGUUCUUACGAACUUGGAAAGCUUGAAAAUCUGCAAAGAUUUUCAUGACCGUCCAUGCGUGCAAGUCGAACGACGCGCGCGAAGCAAUUCGCGUCUUUCACGAAAGUGAGAGGAGUCUAAUGCGAUAACGCCCACCAGUCCUGCAAAUUAAGCAGAGACAGAGACGGGCCAAACAAAAGGGGGCUUACUCUCCACACC
rnacentral:misc_RNA from 1 species